GGGGCAGUAGCCACCAAUAAAUAAAAGGUUGGAGAUAAGUGUGCCAAAAUAUAAAGAUAGGACAGAAGUACAAAAGAUUCUGAAAUAAAACAUUAAACAUGCAUUCCCCAAAAUAGUGGACGCCAAUCAAAACACUAGUGAAGAUGUAUACAACUCUUACAAGCCAUUGUCAUAAUGCACAAGCCUAACACGUUCUAAUCCAAAUAUAUCAAGUAACGUUUGCUUACAUUCGGAAUUCUAUCAUAGUACAUGUCUACUAAGGAUAUGAACCGUAACAGAUGCUCGACAAGAAUGCUCCAUACCUUAGGCAAUGGAAACCUAGCAGAAUGAGAUCCGUCCUGUCUUGGUUGGUGCAUUCCAUAGCUUCACAUCGGGAUAAACCUUUGCCCAUAUCAAUCUUGGCAAAGUGAGCUCCAAAAUCAGCAAUCUUCAAAGAGUCAGGCGGUGCAAGCCAGCUAAACUNNNN
rnacentral:lncRNA from 1 species